UUUUUUUUACAUUGUGCUCAAUAGACCGAGGUGUUGGACGACAUACAUCUGUGGUGGGAGGUGUGACGUCACAGGCUGCAUCAUUAAAUAUUCUCUUCUCUUUUCUUUAACAUCCUGCUGGAUUUUGGUUAAAUCCACACACACACACACACACACCCACAGGGCACCCAAAAACAUGUAUUGAAUUUCCAUUCUCUCGCUCAGACAAACCUGUGUUCAGCUAACACCCAUCAGACACUCAGGUUGCACUCCCGUCGGCCAAUCAGAGAGCGCUGCUGUCGUACAGUGUUGCUAAUGAAAGCGAGUCAGUGUCUUUGAAGUGUUUGUAUAUUAACGCGGAUGAAAAAAAAAAAACCUCCGUGUGUUUGCUACAACGUGCCUCGUCUUGCAGCCUGUAUCAACCUGCGGUGUUUACACGCAACCAGGAUUCUUUUCUGUUUGCUUGGUGUUUUUUUUGUUGUUGUUAUUUUUCUUAUUUGAACCAAGGUGAGGAGAUCAAAGCCGAGUUCACAGGAAACAACGUUAAUAACCGACACCGUCGUCAAUGACCCGAUCAGACCCAGACCAGACGACAUGGCAGCUCCGAGCUACAACUCUCACGACUCUGUCAAAAGUCUCAGCCUUGAUGGCAGCACAGCAGCUUCAUCUGCCAUUCUCAGAGGUCCUGCGACUCUCUGCGGUGUCAGGGGUCACACGUCUGACUUAUCAACAAUCUGCACCAGGUUCCAUUUGCACUUUAAUAUCGACGUAAACAGUUCCAGUGGGAACUGUUU